rnacentral:rRNA from 1 species
UACGAAGGGGGCUAGCGUUGCUCGGAAUGACUGGGCGUAAAGGGCGCGUAGGCGGCGGACACAGUCAGAUGUGAAAUUCCCGGGCUCAACCUGGGGGCUGCAUUUGAUACGUGUUUGCUUGAGUGGGGAAGAGGGUCGUGGAAUUCCCAGUGUAGAGGUGAAAUUCGUAGAUAUUGGGAAGAACACCGGUGGCGAAGGCGGCGACCUGGUCCUUGACUGACGCUGAGGCGCGAAAGCGUGGGGAGCAAACCGG